ensembl:lncRNA
GUUUAACUGUCUGUUUGGUCCUCAUAACACACGUGUUAGUUAAGAUUUAACAAUCUUAUGUGCACAUUUUUCCCUGAUGAAAAUGUAAUUGUUUUUAUUUUUCCCAGCUAAGAGAAAACCACAGUGAUGAGGCCUCAUUGGUGAAACAUCUAGUUUGUUAGUUGAAAGGUUGUCACACUUUCAUUUGUUUAGUUUUCUCUGUGAAAUCACUUGGCCAGUUAUAGAAGACAGUCAAUCUGGACGUAUGCAGGUAAAAGAAAAAUGAGUCUGUAGCCCUUUUCCUACUCAGUUAUUCUCUGGCUUUGGUGUUUUUUGCUAUCUAACAAAAUAGGCACAUUUCCAUGUGAAAGUGCCGCUCCUGCAUUUUGUUGUCACACUGCCUUUAAUAUAAAAUACAUACGGUGGACAUCAGAGGACCUAUGUUAAGGGAAUGCUGAAAACAUGCAUAGUUUUCUGAUAGUUCGGAUCAUACACAUCUGACUCUCUGUGAGAGGGCGCUACUCCUUUUCUGCCUCAUCACUCACACUGUCCUGAAAUGAUCAUUGAAUUCAGAGAAAUGUUCCUUAUGUUUGUAACACAUCGCAACAUCAGAGCAGGCUUUACAUAACUGAAGCUUUCACACUGACUGCUCACCCCAGCUUUUAACUCUCGUGGUAAACAAGGUACUAAUGAUGAUUGACUUUUGUAUUCGUAAGUUGGGUGAAUACUUUCAGAUGUUUGAACAUUUACAGUAAAUGUAGUUAUGUACUGUUUUUUUUGUUUUUUUGUUUUUUUUUGGUCUAAAUGCGUCAUGCUUGUCUUUGAAUCGAAUCGUAUUUUUAUACUGAAGUAUGACUAUAUAUAUAUAUAUAUAUAUAUAUAUAUAUAUAUAUAUAUAUAUAUAUAUAUAUAAAAAUAACAAAAUCUCACAUGUGUUUAGUUGAAAUGGCACAGCUGAAGAGUACAUUGUAAAUAGACUUAAGGUGUAACAGGGCAACUGGUAAUCUGCAUAUCCAUAGAUCUGAAUUUUUGAAAUGGAGAGUCAUCUAGACCAUAAUGUGCAUUCAGUUCCUUCAAGUUGCACUUCGUUUAUCUGUCGAAUUAAGCACUAGAAUUUUAAACUGCAAGCAUGCGUGGUGUGCGCAGGGCUACACUAGCUUACACGUUUGAGUGGUUAGUUAUAAACUUGACCUCUGUGACCUUUUGAUUACCAUGAAGAGUAAAAAGGAACAAAACAUUUCAUAGGAAAUGUGAAGGCACAGCUUAGCACUGAUCAUCCAGUACUAAUCCCUUCUUCUAAUGCUUUUAUCUCAGGUUGUACAUAAGAAAACAAAGGGGGUAAUAUAUGCACAGAUUGGGGGGGGUGGGGGGGUCACAUAAUAUCUCUGUUGGUUUAUAGAGAAACUGAAUGCACUCGUAAUGUAAUUUGCCAUUAAAUCACAUGCUAUAGCAGUAAAUGUGUUGCAGUAAUGAGAAAAACACGUAUAUUGUUUUACAAUUCUGAUCUCAUCGUGCUUUUUCUCUUUGUUUUUGUCUGACUUUUCUCACUCGCUGCUAUAUUGUAAUAACUUACCAAGCAUUUCUUAUGCCAUAAGUAGAUUACUGAUCUUUAAACUGCCUCUACUUGCAUAUAUCUGGUCACAGAAUGUCAGACCCACUUCAGCGCAGCUCAGUUUUUAACCUUGCAGAUUUCCUGGGACUCGCUCAUCCCAGGUGUGCUCGGGGAAAAACCACAAACCUGUGUGUGCCUUAGUGUGUGCCAUAAAACACCAGAUUUAAAAAAAAUAAAUAAAAUAAAAAAAGUUUCUUGCGCACACACUUGUAAACUGUUGGCAUCUUCAGCUAGAUUUAGCUGUUUGUGACACAAAAGGGUCCCACAGGCUGGAAAAUAAUGUCACUGUACAUUCUAUACAAUGUGCACCCUUCUGGGCAGUAACAGUGAAGGAUUUGCUUUUCAAAAAUACAGACUUUUUAAAUGUUAAACAUAAAAAAAAAAAACUGCUAGAAACUUUAUCAACAAGGCAACUUAAAAUGUCAACAAGAUGUCAUGUAAAUUUGCAAAGUCAGCUUUCCCUUAAGAAUGUUUUUUUGUGUGUUGAACUGUCAAGGGACUUUUAAACUUUUAUCAGGGAAUCGUAGUCUUCCUUUGUUGAACUAGCUCAGGAUAUAGGACAGUACUGUUUUCCCUUCCUCAUUCACUCUGGAGUGAGUAUAGAGUGCUCUGCCUUACAAUACGCAUACACCAACAACAAUACAGAUUAAGAUUACCUUUAUUUUUGUUUUUCCUGAACUGAAAGAAAGAAAAGAAAAACUUGGGCUUACUUGGGGCAGCAGUUAUAGGAUUUAGAAACGUGAUUUUUUUUUCUCUCCUGAGUUAAACUUGUUUCUGUGGCUGUAGUGUCAUGCAAAGAGACCAUGGAGUCUCCCUUUCGAUGUGUUGUUAAUGUGUACUGUGGCUUGAUAACAAUACUGUAAAUGUUUGAUGAAUGUAUAUUUAGUCAUUUAAACGAUGAAACAAAUUGAGAUUGAAUGGAUUUAAAAAUAAAGUGAUUUUAAAAUCUG